rnacentral:rRNA from 1 species
GACGAACGCUGGCGGCGUGCUUAACACAUGCAAGUCGAACGGAAAGGCCCUGCUUUUGUGGGGUGCUCGAGUGGCGAACGGGUGAGUAACACGUGAGUCACCUUCCCUUGACUUUGGGAUAACUUCAGGAAACUGGGGCUAAUACCGGAUAGGAGCUCCUGCUGCAUGGUGGGGUUUGGAAAGUUUCGGCGGGUGUGGAUGGACUCGCGGCUUAUCAGCUUGUUGGUGGGGUAGUGGCUUACCAAGGCUUUGACGGGUAGCCGGCCUGAGAGGGUGACCGGCGACAAUGGGACUGAGAGACGGACCAGACGGCUACGGGAGGCAGCAGUGGGGAAUAUGGCACAAUGGGCGGAAGCCUGAUGCAGAAACGUCGCGUGUGGGAUGAAGGCCUUCGGGUUGUAAACCGCUGUCGCCUGUGACGAAGCGGGAGUGACGGUAAUGGAUAAAGAAGCACCGGCUAACUACGUG